CUUCACACCCCCAGAGGAACCAGCUCCUCUCCUCCCCCUCCUGCUCCUCUUCUUCCUCUUUUUCAUCAUGCUUGUGGGAGAGUCUGCAGUGACCGCUGCACCACAACCUUUGUCUGGGGCAGAGGGGAGAACAAGGAGGUUGAAAUGCUGUCCCGCUGGUGCCCAGCCAUGCUUACGUGCGGCACAGGCCCCGUCGACUUGCUUGGCAGGCAGGAAGCCGGCGAGCAGGGGAGUCGGGGCACCUGCUGUGCUUCCUCCUCACCUCCCUCCGCCGUUUCCCUGGGCCAGGGCGAAAAGCAGGUGAACAAGAAGGGUGCAAAGAGGAAGAGGAGGAGCCUGCCCAGGUGGAGUGGAUGCUGGAUGAGUGCCCCUGCCAUGCACCUCGGAGUACAUAGGUGUUCAGAGGGAAGAGAGAGAUACCACAACUCCUGCCAAAUGCCCUUCCGGGAGCAACGGUGGAGAGGCCAUCAGGAAUAUGUGGCACCACCGCUGGAUAAUCUGCAUGGAUCUGCAGAGGUACAUCUUGCAGACAGGCAGGUGCCAGGUUGCUACGCCAUUCCUCACAAGCAGCAAAACCUUAAAUCCGGCCCGGGAGCAGCGGGCGCGCUUCCUUUGGCUGGGGGGCGUCUUGCUGCCGGGGCUGUGGCAUUCGCAGCAUCUGCAGGACCUUCAGGGCAGCCCCAUACAACAUGCGUUGCAAGAGGGUUACCAGCGCUCAAAGCACCUUGGCCAAACUAUCGCAGUCCAAGAGCAGCCCUGUCAGUGUCCCGGCGAAAGCUGGCGAAAGCCUGCGUCAACGAGUCACCUCGGCCCUCUGGUGACAAAGACGGAUCCGAAUCUACGCUCUCGGGUGGCAGAAAUCUGCCUCUGCGCGCAAAAUCUGAGAAAGGGACGCGGCGGCCACCAGGGCCCUUUUGUCGGAAAGCCUUGGCACGGCAGAGGCCAGAUACCACCCCCCACCACGGGGGUGGCCAAGUGUGACCUUCACGGCCUCGUCCGCC
rnacentral:lncRNA from 1 species